rnacentral:rRNA from 1 species
UUCGCAAUGCCCGAAAGGGUGACGAUGCGACGCCGCGUGAGCGAAGAAGGCCCUAGGGUUGUAAAGCUCUGUCGAGGGUUAUGAAAUAUAGAUGGGUUAAUGCCCCAUUUAUUUGACAAAAGCCCAAAAGGAAGCCACGGCUAGCUCUGUGCCAGCAGCCGCGGUAAUACAGAGGUGGCGAGCGUUGUUCGGUAUUAUUGGGCGUAAAGAGCACGUAGGUGGUUUUGUAAGUCAGGUGUGAAAGCCUUCUGUUCAAAGGAAGAACGGCAUCUGAAACUGCAGAUCUUGAGUGUAGGAGGGGAGAGUGGAACUUCUGGUGGAGCGGUGAAAUGCGUAGAUAUCAGAAGGAACGUCGGCGGCGAAAGCGACUCUCUGGCCUAUUACUGACACUGAGUGUGCGAAAGUUAGGGGAGCAAACGGGAUUAGAUACCCCGGUAGUCCUAACCGUAAACGAUGGGCACUAAGUAGAGGGGUUUU